ACGAUGGUGAUAUAGUAAUUAGCAUAGUUGCCUUCCAAGCAAUUGACAUGAUUUCGAUUCUCGGCUAUCGCA
rnacentral:tRNA from 1 species